rnacentral:rRNA from 1 species
CUCCUGGAAACGGGUGGUAAUGCCGGAUGCUCCAGUUGAUCGCAUGGUCUUCUGGGAAAGCUUUCGCGGUAUGGGAUGGGGUCGCGUCCUAUCAGCUUGACGGCGGGGUAACGGCCCACCGUGGCUUCGACGGGUAGCCGGCCUGAGAGGGCGACCGGCCACAUUGGGACUGAGAUACGGCCCAGACUCCUACGGGAGGCAGCAGUGGGGAAUAUUGCACAAUGGGCGCAAGCCUGAUGCAGCGACGCCGCGUGAGGGAUGGAGGCCUUCGGGUUGUAAACCUCUUUUAUCGGGGAGCAAGCGAGAGUGAGUUUACCCGUUGAAUAAGCACCGGCUAACUACGUGCCAGCAGCCGCGGUAAUACGUAGGGUGCAAGCGUUAUCCGGAAUUAUUGGGCGUAAAGGGCUCGUAGGCGGUUCGUCGCGUCCGGUGUGAAAGUCCAUCGCUUAACGGUGGAUCCGCGCCGGGUACGGGCGGGCUUGAGUGCGGUAGGGGAGACUGGAAUUCCCGGCGUAACGGUGGAAUGUGUAGAUAUCGGGAAGAACACCA